rnacentral:rRNA from 1 species
CCUACGGGCGGCAGCAGUGAGGAAUAUUGGUCAAUGGGCGGAAGCCUGAACCAGCCAAGUCGCGUGAAGGAUGACGGUCCUACGCGUUGUAAACUUCUUUUGUCAAGGGACAAAAUCAGGCUCGCGAGCCUGUCCGAGGGUACUUUAAGAAAAAGCAUCGGCUAACUCCGUGCCAGCAGCCGCGGUAAUACGGAGGAUGCGAGCGUUAUCCGGGUUUAUUGGGUUUAAAGGGUUCGUAGGCGGAGUGUUAAGUCAGCGGUAAAAACCCGGGGCGCAACCCCGGCGAGGCUUUGAAAAUGGCGGUCUUGAGAGGGCGAGAGGUAUGCGGAAUGCGCGGUGUAGCGGUGAAAUGCUUAGAUAUCGCGCAGAACUCCGAUUGCGAAGGCAGCAUACCGGCGGCGAUCUGACGCUGAGGCACGAAAGCGUGGGUAUCGAACAGGAUUAGAUACCCUUGUAGUC